UACGGAGGGAGCUAGCGUUGUUCGGAAUUACUGGGCGUAAAGCGCGCGUAGGCGGCUUUGUAAGUUAGAGGUGAAAGCCCGGGGCUCAACCCCGGAACUGCCUUUAAGACUGCAUCGCUUGAAUCCGGGAGAGGUGAGUGGAAUUCCGAGUGUAGAGGUGAAAUUCGUAGAUAUUCGGAAGAACACCAGUGGCGAAGGCGGCUCACUGGACCGGUAUUGACGCUGAUGUGCGAAAGCGUGGGGAGCAAACAGG
rnacentral:rRNA from 2 species